rnacentral:rRNA from 1 species
AUUGAACGCAGGCGGCAGGCUUAACACAUGCAAGUCGAGCGGGGUGAUGGUGCUUGCACUAUCACUUAGCGGCGGACGGGUGAGUAAUGCUUAGGAAUCUGCCUAUUAGUGGGGGACAACAUCUCGAAAGGGAUGCUAAUACCGCAUACGUCCUACGGGAGAAAGCAGGGGAUCACUUGUGACCUUGCGCUAAUAGAUGAGCCUAAGUCGGAUUAGCUAGUUGGGGGGGUAAAGGCCUACCAAGGCGACGAUCUGUAGCGGGUCUGAGAGGAUGGAUCGCCACACCGGGACGGAGACACGGCCCAGACUCCUUCGGGAGGGAGCAGUGGGGAAUAUUGGACAAUGGGGGGAACCCUGAUCCAGCCAUGCCGCGUGUGUGAAGAAGGACUUAUGGUUGUAGAGCACUUUAAGCGAGGAGGAGGCUCUUUUGGUUAAUACCCAAGAUGAGUGGACGUUACUCGCAGAAUAAGCACCGGCUAACUCUGUGCCAGCCGCCGCCGCAG